UGGGAGCUGAUAGGAGCCGGGCCCAUGGCUGGAGGUUACCCUGGCAGGACCAGGACCCCAAUGAGCUCAGUUCAUUGGUUUGUUGGGGUUGAUAAUCUUUUACCCAGUCCAACACUCUGAUAACCGAUGGCGUAGUUCUGGGUUUCCUGUCAAACCGUUGUUUCCACCAGCCACAAUAAUAUCAGCAUUAACUGCCAACCACAGAAAACAAGGUGGGUCAUUGGCUUGCCUCAUUCAGUGUCUCGAUGUUGCAGCCAAUCACAGUUGGUCUAUGGUAUGUAAAUGGUGUCUUUUAAGUCCAAGUCUUUCAUUAGAGCGAGAACAGCGCUAGUUCAGCUUCAGCGCCAAAACGUGACAAUGUAUUUUGCAAUGAUAAUCCUGGGUACAGCAAGGUUGAUUCUGGCCAAAGAGAGUCCUCCUUCGUUCUUUGUGGAAUCAGCAGUACUUGGAGAUACUGUAACCCUUCAUUGUGAAUGUGAAAAUACGAAUUGCAAUGAUUUAUACUGGUACAAGCAAUCUCCUGGAUGUUUUCCCGAAAUGGUAGCUUCGAAAUUGUAUAUAUCAAUAACCUUGAAGCCCCACAUUAACUUAACGUUGACAAAGGGAGAAGAUGGUGUUUGUGUCUUUCAUCUGAUCAUUCCAAACGUAACUAAAGGUGAUGAAGCAAAUUAUUUCUGUCAAUCGUACUCACGUUUUAAGUGGAAUAAUUUCACCUUUCUGUCUGUCAAAGAUCCCAAUGACCACAGGUUUGUCUCCCAGACUGUGGUCCAACAGCCUGUGUCAGCAUCAGCUCAGCUGGGAGACCCUGUGGCUCUCCAGUGCUCUAUUACCUCCAGAGGACGGACCACAGUAACCAGUGCCAAGGGGAACCCAGUGUGUACUU